rnacentral:rRNA from 1 species
GCGAACGCUGGCGGCAUGCCUAACACAUGCAAGUCGAACGAGACCUUCGGGUCUAGUGGCGCACGGGUGCGUAACGCGUGGGAACCUGCCCUUAGGCUCGGAAUAACUCCCCGAAAGGGGUGCUAAUACCGGAUAAUGUCUUCGGACCAAAGAUUUAUCGCCUUUGGAUGGGCCCGCGUUGGAUUAGCUAGUUGGUAGGGUAAAAGCCUACCAAGGCGACGAUCCAUAGCUGGUCUGAGAGGAUGAUCAGCCACACUGGGACUGAGACACGGCCCAGACUCCUACGGGAGGCAGAGGGGGGGAAUAUUGAAAAAGGGGGGAAAGCGUGAUCCACCAAUGCCGCGGGAGGGAUGAAGCCCUUGGGGUUGAAAAGCUCUUUUCCCCGGGAGGAAAAUGACAGCACCGGAAGAAUAAGCCCCGGCUAACCCCGUC